AACGCGAAAGUCCCGCAAGGGAUAAGUAGAGUGGCAAACGGGUGAGUAACACGUGGGUGACCUGCCUUCGAGUGUGGGAUAACGUCCCGAAAGGGACGCUAAUACCGCAUGACAUCCUGCCUUCUAACAGGUGGAGAUCAAAGCUGGGGAUCGCAAGACCUAGCGCUUGAAGAGGGGCCCGCGUCUGAUUAGCUAGUUGGUGAGGUAACGGCUCACCAAGGCGACGAUCAGUAUCCGGCCUGAGAGGGCGGACGGACACACUGGGACUGAGACACGGCCCAGACUCCUACGGGAGGCAGCAGUGGGGAAUUGUUCGCAAUGGGCGCAAGCCUGACGACGCAACGCCGCGUGGAGGAUGAAGAUCUUCGGGUCGUAAACUCCUUUCGAUCGAGACGAACGGCUCUCGUGCUAAUCAGCGAGAGAAUGACGGUACCGAGAGAAGAAGCCCCGGCUAACUCCGUGCCAGCAGCCGCGGUAAUACGGGGGGGGCAAGCGUUGUUCGGAAUUACUGGGCGUAAAGGGCUCGUAGGCGGCCAACUAAGUCAGACGUGAAAUCCCUCGGCUUAACCGGGGAACUGCGUCUGAUACUGGAUGGCUUGAGGUUGGGAGAGGGAUGCGGAAUUCCAGGUGUAGCGGUGAAAUGCGUAGAUAUCUGGAGGAACACCGGUGGCGAAGGCGGCAUCCUGGACCAAUUCUGACGCUGAGGAGCGAAAGCCAGGGGAGCAA
rnacentral:rRNA from 1 species